rnacentral:lncRNA from 1 species
GAUCUCUGUAUGCUUUUCAGUUGCUCUGUAGAGUAUAGCAGGCUAGUCAACCUUGUGGGCUGGUCAGAGGCAUCUGCAACAGUUGUGACAGCUGCGGAAAAAAAUGGAUGCAAAUUCUACAGCCUCAGAAGAAAUGAGUGAAAUUUUCCAUGCUUGGUUUAUUAGAGCUAUUUCUGAAGUAAGACUUUUAGGACUUAUAAAACCUACCAAAUAGAAGACUGACCAUUUGGCAAGGCUAACAUGGGGCGGCUGCUAG